rnacentral:rRNA from 1 species
GGGAAACUGCCUGAUGGAGGGGGAUAACUACUGGAAACGGUAGCUAAUACCGCAUAAUGUCGCAAGACCAAAGAGGGGGACCUUCGGGCCUCUUGCCAUCAGAUGUGCCCAGAUGGGAUUAGCUAGUAGGUGGGGUAACGGCUCACCUAGGCGACGAUCCCUAGCUGGUCUGAGAGGAUGACCAGCCACACUGGAACUGAGACACGGUCCAGACUCCUACGGGAGGCAGCAGUGGGGAAUAUUGCACAAUGGGCGCAAGCCUGAUGCAGCCAUGCCGCGUGUAUGAAGAAGGCCUUCGGGUUGUAAAGUACUUUCAGCGGGGAGGAAGGUGUUGAGGUUAAUAACCUCAGCAAUUGACGUUACCCGCAGAAGAAGCACCGGCUAACUCCGUGCCAGCAGCCGCGGUAAUACGGAGGGUGCAAGCGUUAAUCGGAAUUACUGGGCGUAAAGCGCACGCAGGCGGUCUGUCAAGUCGGAUGUGAAAUCCCCGGGCUCAACCUGGGAACUGCAUUCGAAACUGGCAGGCUAGAGUCUUGUAGAGGGGGGUAGAAUUCCAGGU